rnacentral:rRNA from 1 species
UACGGGGGGGAGCAAGCGUUGUUCGGAUUUACUGGGCGUAAAGGGCGCGUAGGCGGCGCGGUAAGUCGGGUGUGAAAUCUCGGAGCUUAACUCCGAAACUGCAUUCGAUACUGCCGUGCUUGAGGACUGGAGAGGAGACUGGAAUUUACGGUGUAGCGGUGAAAUGCGUAGAUAUCGUAAGGAAGACCAGUGGCGAAGGCGGGUCUCUGGGCCGAUACUGACGCUGAGGAGCGAAAGCGUGGGGAGCGAACAGG